CCAAACGGGGGAUUGCCUCAGUACGGCGAGUGAAGCGGCAAAAGCUCAAAUUUGAAAUCUGGCGCCUUCGGUGCCCGAGUUGUAAUUUGUAGAAGGCGACUUUUGGGGCCGGUUCUUGUCUAUGUUCCUUGGAACAGGACGUCAUGGAGGGUGAGAAUCCCGUAUGGCGAGGACUUGAGCUCCUUGUAAAGCGCUUUCGAAGAGUCGAGUUGUUUGGGAAUGCAGCUCUAAGUGGGUGGUAAAUUCCAUCUAAAGCUAAAUACAGGCGAGAGACCGAUAGCGAACAAGUACAGUGAUGGAAAGAUGAAAAGAACUUUGAAAAGAGAGUGAAAAAGUACGUGAAAUUGUUGAAAGGGAAGGGCAUUUGAUCAGACAUGGCGUUUUGCGCCCUUUGCUCCUUGUGGGCGGAGGAAUCUCGCAGCUCGCUGGGCCAGCAUCGGUUUUUGCGGCAGCAGAAAACCUAGGGAACGUAGCUUGUGUCUUUGACUCAAGAACUUAUAGCCCUGGGGAAUACUGCCAGCGGGGACCGAGGACUGCGGUGCUUGUCACCAAGGAUGCUGGCAUAAUGGUUAUAUGCGCCCCGUCUAAAAAAGGGGGGCCAAAAAAAAAAAGGGAAAUUAAAAGAAAAAAGGGA
rnacentral:rRNA from 1 species